ensembl:snRNA U12 U12 minor spliceosomal RNA
AUGCCUUAAACUAAUGAGUAAGGAAAAUAACGAUUCGGGGUGACGCCCGGAUCCUCGCUCAUACAUGCGAGAGGAAUUUUUGAACGGGUUCAGGUUGCUCCGAGGUGACCCGCCUACUUUGUGGGAUGCCUUUGUGUUGUGAUCUACCCG